rnacentral:rRNA from 1 species
CCAGACUCCUACGGGAGGCAGCAGUGGGGAAUAUUGCACAAUGGGGGAAACCCUGAUGCAGCGACGCCGCGUGAGUGAAGAAGUAUUUCGGUAUGUAAAGCUCUAUCAGCAGGGAAGAAAAUGACGGUACCUGAUUAAGAAGCCCCGGCUAACUACGUGCCAGCAGCCGCGGUAAUACGUAGGGGGCAAGCGUUAUCCGGAUUUACUGGGUGUAAAGGGAGCGUAGACGGUGAUGCAAGUCAGAAGUGAAAGCCCAGGGCUCAACUCCGGGACUGCUUUUGAAACUGUGUGACUGGAGUGCAGGAGAGGUAAGCGGAAUUCCUGGUGUAGCGGUGAAAUGCGUAGAUAUCAGGAGGAACACCAGUGGCGAAGGCGGCUUACUGGACUGUAACUGACGUUGAGGCUCGAAAGCGUGGGGAGCAAACAGGAUUAGAUACCCCAGUA